rnacentral:rRNA from 1 species
AGAGUUUGAUCAUGGCUCAGGAUGAACGCUAGCUACAGGCUUAACACAUGCAAGUCGAGGGGCAUCAUGUCGGUUGCUUGCAACCGAUGAUGGCGACCGGCGCACGGGUGAGUAACGCGUACCCAACCUUCCGCACACUAAGGGAUAACCCGUUGAAAGACGGCCUAAUACCUUAUGUCCUCCACGGCAGACAUCUAAUGUGGAGUAAAGAUUCAUCGGUGUGUGAUGGGGAUGCGUCUGAUUAGGCAGUUGGCGGGGUAACGGCCCACCAAACCGACGAUCAGUAGGGGUUCUGAGAGGAAGGUCCCCCACAUUGGAACUGAGACACGGUCCAAACUCCUACGGGAGGCAGCAGUGAGGAAUAUUGGUCAAUGGGCGAGAGCCUGAACCAGCCAAGUAGCGUGCAGGACGACGGCCCUAUGGGUUGUAAACUGCUUUUAUGCGGGGAUAAAACGCGGGACGUGUCCCGCCUUGCAGGUACCGCAUGAAUAAGGACCGGCUAAUUCCGUGCCAGCAGCCGCGGUAAUACGGAAGGU